UGUUGCGGACCGCCCAAUUCGCUAGCCCAAUUGCCCACAAUUUCGGGCUAGAGAGCCAACACAAGGCCAAGAGUGCUAGCUUGGCCCAAUUCCGGAACAUUCUAGGCAACUCUAGCACAUGAGCUUGUAAAUACUCUAGAAUUCUCCAUAGAAUUCCAGCACAUGUAAAUAUCUAGAAUUCUAGGAACAUGGUAGAAUUCUCUAGAAUCUCUAGAGCUUGGCAAGCCUCCCCUAUAAAUAUGGGAUGGCAUUAGGCAUUUGCAUCCAACAAAACACAACAACAAGCAUUGUAAUCUCUCUUUGUAUAAUACAAGUUUUCUAUUCGGCUCCAUUGCUCUCUUCUCUAGUUCGAGAAGCUCAAGGCUUACUUAGCAAUGUUCGACAAAGUUGUCUAAGUGCCGCACGGGUUAGCUGCACAAAAUACUCAUCCCGUGACAAGUGGUAUCAGAGCUAAGGUUUGCACGCACGCAAGUUAGCUCACGAAGCAAUGGCCAACCCUUCGAACGUAGCACAAGAGGGUGUUGUUGGUGUGGAUGUUCCACCGGAACCAAGCCGCGGCCGAGAGGGAGAACGCGCCCAAGGCAAGACUCGCGGUAAGUCCAAGGCCCCAUCCGUGGAUGCGUUGGAGCCUCGUGUGACUACUCCCGAAAUCGCAUUGUCCGCCGCUCAAGACAGCCUCGAGAAUACGCCGAGUUCACGGUGGCAACAAAAGCUCUCAUCCAAGAGCAAGCGAACACUCUCCGGGGUGAGUUUCAUUCUUUUCAUGAUGAGUUGCUCAAACUUCAUAGUUUUGUUCAGGAUGAACUACGCUCUGUCCGUGCGGAAGUGGAUGAAGUCCGCUCAGAUUGGGCAUGGCACAAGCGCACACUCUCCGCAAGUCCAGCUUCCGCAAACUCGAGUGAUGUGCGCCGCAUUGACGUGCCAAAGCCCGACACCUACAAUGGCACACGAAAUGCCACCAUCGUGGACAACUUCCUAUUUGGGCUUGAUCAAUAUUUCGAUGCCAUGGGUGUACGAGAUGAGGCAUCGAAAGUGGGCACUGCACCCACCUAUCUUCGAGGCGCUAUACAACUAUGGUGGCGUCGCAAGCAUGGCGAGAUGGGCAAGGGCAUUUGCACCAUCGACACUUGGGCUGACUUCAAGCAAGAACUCCGAAAGUAGUUCACCCCAAGCAAUGCGGAGAAGGAAGCGUGAGCAUGCUUACAUCGCCUUAAGCAAACGGGUAGCAUUCGGGACUACAUCAACGAGUUCACUACCCUCAUGUUGGAGAUAAGCGACAUGUCCGACAAGGAUUCGCUCUUCUACUUCCAAGAUGGCCUCAAGGAUUGGGCCAAGACCGAGCUUGAUAGGCGUGGUGUUCACACACUUGACGACGCCAUCGCCAUUGCGGAGUCGCUCACCGAAUACUCUACCCAAUCCAAGGACAAAAAGGCCAACCAAGGCAAAGGUGGGGAAGAUAGUCGAAAGGACAAGGGCAACAACCGCAAAGAUUGGGGGCAGAAAAAGCAGCCUAGCAACAAGAGUGGGCAAGGAAAAUCGGAGGACAAGAAGGAGGCGCCAAAGCCGCGAAGCCCAUGCUUCAUAUGCAACGGUCCGCAUUGGGUAUGCGACUGUUCGGCGAAGAGGUCGCUUAAUGCUCUCGCAGCCCAACUCAAGAGCAACCCCACAAUGUCCACGGAAGAACCCCAACUCAACAUGGGUUCUCUCCAACGUCUCGGCGCACUCAAUCGCCAACAGCCCACACUUGUCAAGAAAGGGCUCAUGUAUGUAAGCGCAAAGGUAAACGGUCAGUCCGUUCGCGCGCUGCUAGACACGGGAGCGACGUACAACUUCGUGUCCGUGGACCAGGCCAACCGCUUAGGCCUCAAGGCCACCAAGGAAGGAGGUACAAUGAAGGCUGUGAACUCACCCGCCAAGCCAAUUGCGGGAAUUGCACAAGGCGUGCAUCUAACACUCGGUACAUGGAGCGGAAAGCUUGACUUCUCCAUUGUUCCCAUGGACGACUUCAAGAUGGUCCUCGACAUGGAAUUCUUCGAUCAAGUCCAUGCCUUCCCGCUGCCCGCUACAAACUCCCUAAGCAUCCUCGAUGGGAGUAAGGCAUGCAUUGUUCCCACGGAACGAGGCAAGUCCGAUGAGAAGACACUCUCCGCCAUGCAAUUCAAAAGAGCUUUCAAGAAGGAUCCAAGUUUCUUGGUCUCCGUUAGGGAACUAAACGAGGAAGGAGAUUGCGGAAAGUCGCCAAGCCAAGUCCCUCCGCGAAUUCAAACCGUCCUCAAUGAGUACAAGGACGUGAUGCCUCCAGAACUUCCGAAGAAGCUCCCACCUCGACGAGAGGUAGAUCAUACGAUCGAGCUAGAACAAGGUGCGAAGCCACCAUCCUUGGCGCCCUACCGCAUGGCGCCACUCGAACUUGAAGAGUUGCGGAGACAACUCAAAGACUUGCUGGACGCAGGCUACAUUCGCCCCUCAAAGGCCCCAUUUGGCGCACCGGUGCUCUUCCAAAAGAAAUAGGAUGGAUCACUGCGGAUGUGCAUCGACUAUAGGGCACUCAAUAAGAUCACCAUCAAGAACAAGUAUCUGAUUCCCUUGAUUGCGGACUUGUUCGACCAGCUUGGCAAAGCGCGGUACUUCACCAAACUUGACUUGCGCUCUGGGUAUUAUCAAGUGCGCAUCGCCAAGGGAGACGAACUGAAGACAGCGUGCACAACAAGGUACGGGUCUUUCGAAUUUCUUGUGAUGCCUUUUGGCCUUACUAAUGCACCCGCCACAUUUUGCACGCUCAUGAACAAGGUGCUCCAACCAUUUCUCGACCGCUUCGUGGUCGUGUACUUGGACACCGAUUCCCUUGAUUGCGGACUUGUUCGACCAGCUUGGCAAAGCGCGGUACUUCACCAAACUUGACUUGCGCUCCGGGUAUUAUCAAGUGCGCAUCGCCAAGGGAGACGAACUGAAGACAGCGUGCACAACAAGGUACGGGUCUUUCGAAUUUCUUGUGAUGCCUUUUGGCCUUACUAAUGCACCCGCCACAUUUUGCACACUCAUGAACAAGGUACUCCAACCAUUCCUCGACCGCUUCGUGGUCGUGUACUUGGACGACAUUGUGGUGUAUAGCACCACACUCGAGGAUCAUGCCCAACACUUGCAACAAGUCCUCCAAGUACUUCGAGACAAUGAGCUCUUCCUCAAACUAGAGAAGUGCUCGUUUGCCCAACAAGAGGUGGAGUUCCUUGGCCACAAGAUUGCGGGCGGGAAGAUCAUGAUGGAGAAUGACAAAGUAAAGGCCAUCCUCGAUUGGGAGCCUCCCUCGAAAGUACCCGAACUUCGCUCAUUCCUUGGACUGGUGAAUUACUACCGCCGCUUCAUCAAGGGCUAUUCAGCUAAGGCGGCACCCUUGACGGAUAUGCUCAAGAAAAACAGAACAUGGCAUUGGUCCGAAGAGUGCCAACGCGCCUUCGAGGAGUUGAAGAAGGCAAUUUUGGAGGAACCAGUCCUCGCUCUUCCGGACCACACCAAGCCAUUUGAAGUUCAAACGGAUGCCUCGGAUUUCGCCAUAGGUGGAGUCCUUAUGCAAGAAGGCCACCCAAUAGCGUUCGAGAGUCGAAAGCUAAAUGACACGGAACGCCGCUACACGGUGCAAGAGAAGGAGAUGACCGCAAUCAUACAUUGCUUGCGGGUGUGGCGACAUUACUUGCUUGGCUCGCACUUCACGAUUAUGACAGAUAACGUGGCGACAAGCUACUUUCAAACUCAGAAGAAGUUGAGUCCGAAGCAAGCACGGUGGCAAGAUUUCCUUGCGGAAUUCGACUAUCGGCUAGAGUACAAACCGGGGAAAGCCAAUGUUGUUGCGGACGCUCUAAGCCGCAAGGCGGAAUUGGCAACACUUAGCAUGAGCCAACCGAAGUCCGACCUUGUCUCACGCAUCAAGGAAGGCCUCCAACAAGAUCCGCUAGCAAAGGAUUUGCUGGAGAAGGUGCUCGAAGGAAAGACAAGGCGGUUUUGGCAAGAGGAAGGCAUUCUCCUCACCAAGGGAGAUCGGCUGUUCGUGCCAAGGUGGGGAAACUUGCGGAAGGAAGUAAUCAAGGAGUGCCACGACUCUAAGUGGGCUGGUCACCCAGGAAUCGAGCGCACCACCGCACUAGUUCAAGCCUUGUAUUUUUUGCCACACAUGAGGGACGACAUCGGGGCAUAUGUGCGAACUUGUCUUGUUUGCCAACAAGACAAAGUGGAUACUUGAGGCAUUAUGUGAGCGUUCAUCAGCGGGAUUGGGCGAAGCUACUCGACAUUGCCCAAUUUUCUUAUAAUUUGCAGCGAAGUGAGGCUACGGGCAAGAGUCCAUUCGAGAUCAUCAUGGGAUUCCAGCCCAUGACCCCACAUGCCAUAGCCUCGACUUACGGAGGGAAAAGCCCCGCGGUACACAAGUUCGCCCGCGAGUGGCAUGAGGAAGCGGACAUCACGCGAGCCUACCUCGACAAAGCCGCGAGGAAAAUGAAGAAAUGGGCGGAUACAAGGAGACGGCAUGUUGAGUACACGGAAGGUGAUCAAGUCAUGAUCAAGCUCCUACCCCAACAAUUCAAGACUUUGCGGAAAGUUCACAAGGGGUUAGUGAGGCGCUACGAGGGACCCUUCCGAGUUGUUCGACGUGUAGGCAACGUCUCGUAUCAACUCCAACUUCCACCAAGACUCAAGAUCCAUCCGGUCUUCCAUGUAAGCCUUCUCAAGCCAUAUCACGAAGACAUGGGAGAACCAAGUCGCGGAGAAUCGAGGCGCGCGCCAACUGCCGUUGUCACCGCAUUCGACAAAGAUGUGGACUACAUCAUUGCGGACCGAACGGUUUCGAGGAGGGGCGUGCCAGCACAUAGCGAGUACUUGGUGAAGUGGAAAAACCUCCCCGAGAGCGAAGCCACUUGGGAACGGGAAGAUGAUUUGUGGCAAUUCGCUGAGCACAUCCAGCACUUCAAGCACGAGAGCGCGACGAGGACGCCGCGAGCUUAAGUGGGGGAGGAUGUUGCGGACCGCCCAAUUCGCUAGCCCAAUUGCCCACAAUUUCGGGCUAGAGAGCCAACACAAGGCCAAGAGUGCUAGCUUGGCCCAAUUCCGGAAGGUUCUAGGCAACUCUAGCACAUGUGAACAUGUAAAUAUUCUAGAAUACUUUAUACAAUUCCAGCACAUGCAAAUAGCUACUGCUGUACCGUACAUCCGCCUUGGCCGUACAGCAGUAAAUCCAAGAAUUUCACCUCUGACUAUGAAAUACGAAUGCCCCCGACUGUCCCUGUUAAUCAUUACUCCGAUCCCGAAGGCCAACAGAAUAGGACCGAAAUCCUAUGAUGUUAUCCCAUGCUAAUGUAUACAGAGCGUAGUGUUACGGUCCGCCCAAUUCGCUAGCCCAAUUGCCCAUAAUUUCGGGCUAGAGAGCCAACACAAGGCCAAGAGUGCUAGCUUGGCCCAAUUCCGGAACAUUCUAGGCAACUCUAGCACAUGAGCUUGUAAAUACUCUAGAAUUCUCCUUACAAUUCCAGCACAUGUAAAUAGCUAGGAAGUGGUAGAAUUCUCUAGAAUCUCUAGAGCUUGGCAAGCCUCCCCUAUAAAUAUGGGAUGGCAUUAGGCAUUUGCAUCCAACAAAACACAACAACAAGCAUUGUAAUCAACUCAAGCAUUGUAAUCUCUCUUUGUGCAAUACAAGUUUUCUAUUCGGCUCCAUUGCUCUCUUCUCUAGUUCGAGAAGCUCAAGGCUUACUUAGCAACGUUCGACAAAGUUGUCUAAGUGCCGCACGGGUUAGCUGCGCAAAAUACUCAUCCCGUGACACUAGGCUUUAAAAGGCUCAGUUCAAGCCUGGCCCAGGCCUUUAAUUUGCCAACUUUAUUUCAAGGCAACCAAUGCAAUUAGAGUUCGAAAAGGCUUUGAUUGAUUGGAGUGUUGCUUAAAGAAAUCGAAGUCCGAAGUUGAGAGUGCCUUUGAGAUAGCGUAGGAUUUUUUUAACAACGUUGAGGUCUUGUUUAGUAGGGCUUUGGAAGUGCUAACAAGCUUUCUUGACAGCAUGAACAACGUCUAGCCUAGUGAAUAUGAGAUAUUGUAGGUUGCCGACAAAGGUACGGUAAUUUGUGGCACAUAUGGGUUUUUAAUCAUCAUCUUAUGGUUAGCUUUUGACAACUAUAAGGGUCUGAUUAAGGAUACAAUUAGGUAAACCAGACUUGGUUAACAAUUCAUGCAUGUAUUGGGCUUAGGAUAAAAAAUAUCUCUUGUAAAGCACCAAAUUUCAAUUCCUAAAAAGUAGCUCAAUAAGCUUAAGUCUUUCAAUGCAAACCGAGUUCUGAGUUGGUUGAUAAUGGAUUGAAUUCUUUCGAGAUUAUUUCUUGUAAUAAUUACAUCGUCAACAUAAACCAAAGCAAAUCAUAAUAUUGUUAGCAUAAAAAAUAAAGAGGGAAAAUCAGCUUUGCAAAUUAUAAAUCCAAGACCUAAAAAUGCUAAUGAUAAACACUCAAACUAAGCAUUUGAGGUUUGUUUGAGUCAAUAUAAGGGCUUGUGAAGCAAGCAAACAUGGUCAGGUAGAUUUUGAUUCGUAAAGUUAGGUGGCCGGUCCAUGUUGGCAGUUUCUUUUUACUUGACUAUGUAAAAAGGCAUUUUGAAUAUCUAGUUGUUUGAUAAGCCAUUUGGAACUAAUUACGAGGGCUAAGACAAGUUGUAUAGUAGUUGGCUUAAUGACAGGGCCGCAAGUCUUGUUGAAGUCAAUGCCAAUAACUUGUGUAUAUCCCUUUAUGAAUAAAAGGGCUUUUAACUGAUCCACUGUACCAAUCUUCUCGAUGUUUGGUUUUAUAAACCCACUUUGAACUAACUAAAUUAGCAUCAGGUAAAGGAACUAAGGUCUACGUCUUAUUUUGAUAGAAGGCAACAAGUUCAUCGGCCAUCGCUUGCAACCAUGGAUGAGGUUUGGUUCAAUUAUAGUAGCAUGAUUGGUUUAAGGGCAAAGACAAGAUCUUGUUUGAGCUUGUUGAUUGUCAAUAUAGGAAAGACUCUAUUGUUUUGGCAGGAGAUAUGUUUAGUUCAACAAAUAACUUUCCUAAGAGAUUGUUCAAGGCACAUGAGUUAUAGUUGUGACUUUUUUUAAGUUCGUUGUGAAGUCGUGUUUAUGUUUGUAUUAUCAUUAGAAGUCUGUGUUAUUGGAUGAGGAGCUCUUUUGAGGUGAAUUUAUAAUGGGAUGUCCAGGUCAAGAGGUGGGAGGUUUAUGAAGGUUUUCAAUUAUCACAGCUUUGUCCAAAAGACUUGGAGUGGGAGAUAAUGGUUCAUUCCUAUUUGAAGGCGUGGUAGUGUGUUUUAGAUUAUUAACUUUAGUGUGCCCAAGAGAAUUGUUAUUGAACGACUCUGUUAAAAUUUUUAGGAGCCAUUGUGGCACAUCUAAGGUAAUGGGAACCCUACAAGUAUUUUACAUAGGAGAAGAAUCUUUUAGUUUUGAUAAGGGAAACAUAACUCACUAAGGAUUAAAUGACGAGAGAUAUAAAUUCAAUUGUUUUUAAGAAAAAGACAAUAGUCUCCCUUGUGAGUGGGGCUAUAACCUACAAAAAUACAAGGAAGAGUCUUUUUGUCAAAUUUGAUUUUAUUGUAGUCAUUUAAAGAGACAACUAAAAAUUCUAAUUUUAUUAUAAAUAAGAGUUUCCUUGAAAAGUAACUCAUGAGGCAUUUGCAUCUUAAUAAUCCUUUGUGGCAUUUUAUCUAUGAGAUAUGCGAUUGUUGAAACAACCUCUAUCAAAUGCUCAAAUGGUAACAAAGAUUCAGAUGACAUUGUAAAGGUAGUCUUUAUUAUAUGUCUAUGCUUCCUUUUAGCAGCUCUAUUUUGUUAAGGAGUAUAAAGACAUGAAGUAUGUUUGAUGAUUCCAGAUUGUUAAAGGUCUUGUUGGAAAAUGAUAGAGGUUCUCUUUAUUUUCUACAACAAAGUCAAAAGAGUUAAAUUCCACUGAACAAUUUAUAUCAUCUAUAAGUUUGUUGACUAACAAGAGGUUCUCUUUAAGUUUGGAAACAAGCAAAAAAAAAAUUUAAAGUUUGAUUUCCCAUGCGUGGUAUCACCAAUAUGAGAACUAGGUAAGUUUUGGACAUUCCCUACAAAAAUCUUAUCAAAACAUUUGCAAGGAACAAAUUUCCUAAACCUACUAGUGUUAUUUAUCAUGUGGGUAGUAGCUCCUAAAUCAGGAUAAAGUUGUGGGUCGUUCUCAUCAUGCAGAUUCAUGGCCACAAGGGCUGUGGUACUGCCUUUUGAAGAGUAAAGUAGUAGUACCUUUGUUUAUAAGUAGUAGCAUUUUGGUUAGUCUUGCCAUAAAUUUUACGUAUUAUACCUAAUUUAGAAUUAUGUUUCCACUUAUCAGUUUCUAUGUUGUAAUGUUUUAGUGUAGGUGGCAGAUUGAACCAUUAUUGUUGAACUUUAUGCUACAGCAAAGAGUUGUUAAAGGGUAAUUGAUUCAUGUUGUUAUGCCCAUUGUUAAAGGGAAAAUUUCCUCUUCCACGAAGGUUGUUGUUGAAGCAGCCUUUUUGUCCUUAUCCUCAAAAACUUUUCCCAUGUCCACAUUGGCCAAAGAAAGCUUGCUGUGGAUCCGCUUCUUUGCCAUCAUUUUUCUGAGCGAUCACAGUAUGCUCAUGGUUUUUUUAAGAAUGAUAGGAAUAAUUUUAAACUUGGAUAAGAUGGCUUGGUCAACACAACCAUUUUAAAGUCAACAUACUCGAUUCUCAGUGCUCAUGCCAUUGAAAAGACUUUGUCAUCAUCAGUCAACGGCUUUCCAAUGGCAGCUAGAUUGUCGCACUGGCCUUUGAAUUUUUUAAGAAGUCGUCAAGCUUCAGGAAGCUUUCUUUAGGGAGAAUAGAUUAUCUUUAAGCCAAGACUCAUGCUCCUUCGUAGCGGGAGCUUGUACUCUUCAAUGAAGAGAUAAACUUCUCUUGUUGUUUGUCAUCCAACUAUUGGUAUAAGGAUGUCUUCCAUCAUCAUUCCAUGUAACCAAGUAAAAUAGCCUAUAAUUGUCUGCUAAAAUUGAAAAGGCAGGGUUAUUGACAAACUAUCCAUUAUUUGGAAAUUGUUUAGGGUAGUACAUCAUUAGAGAUGUGAUUGUCGAGUCCUAUGUUGAUGAUCAAGAGAAGGAUUUGGGACCUCCAUAAGAGAUAAUUGUUGCUAGAGAGUCUGACAGAGAUUAGGUUGGCACAUUAAUGGAUAAUUUACGAAGAGAGUUUGGCCUCGAUUUGAGUGUUACAUAAAGAAGCAUAAGCUCUGAUACUAUGGUAAUUUUCAAGAGUAUUGUAUGUUGGAUCCAUCUCAUUUUGGUGGUCCAAGCCGAAAGCUUCCAUUAGAUUGGGUGUUUAAGUAAUUAAAGAAAGAUUGGUAGGCUAAGUGAAAUUAGCAUAUAUAAUUUAUAAAGGCAAAUAAGUGGAAGCAGUAGUAACAUGAGAAGAACACAAAAAUGUGAGAGAGAGAGAGAGGAAAAAAAAUGCAAUGGCCCACUAUAUCAAUUUGUGUUCAAGGGUUUCAAUCUUUGAUUAGGCGAUCAGAAGCAGAAUUUAACUCCAUUUUCUCCUGAAAUACCUACUUAUUAGAGAGACAUAUAUUAGAGUGUUGUUGUAAGUCAAGAUUAUUAAGAUUCUUGAUGUUGUUAACCUCAAGUGUUUUCUAGAGAAGAAUUUGUGUUCUAGUCCCAUUAUUUAUAUAGUGGAAUGUUAUAUCAGACCACAGUCCUAUAAUAUUUCCCGAUUUGGGUUUUCUUUGUAAAAAUAUGUCUUGUGGUUGAUUUAUUGCUUUGAAUUGUGUUGGGUUUUUUUUUGUAUUAAUUUGUAGUACACAUCACAUUUUAAUCACACAAAGAGGAAAUGAGUUUGUUUUUACUUUAUUUGCAACUAUUUGUGUGGGUCCCUUUCCUAACAUUAUGAAUGACUGAAUGCUUUUGAUGUACUUUCUUAAUGUAAAAGAAGGAUUAUGUAUUUAUACAGGAGUUGAGGAAUUAUAUAUGGAAGAAAUAUUUUACAGAAAUAAUGAGAUUCAUUCUGAACUUAGACAUUAACUAGCCGUUGGUUAUGUUAUGAAGAAAAUCUGGACUUGAAUGGCAGUCGGCUAUCCAUUUUUUGGUGAGUCUGCAUGUCACGGGAUUAUGUGAGAUCAUUCCAUUGCAAGCCUUUGGUAAGAGCUAUACAAAUUGCCAUAUUUGUUUCCAAAGGUUUGUUACUUUCCUUGUUGAUGCUAGAUUGAGUUGAUGUGUUGAUCUUUUCCAUGUUAGUACAUUACGCGUGUGUCUGCAUAUAGUUCAUGCGUUGUGAUUGUUUGAAAUCCAUGAAUUCCACAUUUGGUGGGCAAAUUUUCCCACCACAUAAGAAGAUGAUAGAUGACUGACAAUUUGUGAUGUAUUUUGGGAAAAUUGACUUAUAUCAUUAUAGUAUGAACGAAUCGUGAUCGAAUUUUGGUCUGUUAUAAAUCGAUGAUGGUUUUGUGAUAGAAUUAUUGUCUAUCAAGAAUUUAUAAUAGAAUAGUGAUAGAAAUUUUUUCUAUCAAGAAAUUGUGAUAGAAAUAUAAAUUUGACCAUGUUUGACCAAAAUUUUGAUUUAAUAUUUUAUUAAAAGAAAAAGAAAAAAAGUGUAUUAUAAUUUAAUUGAUAAUUUAAAUUAUAUGAAAAAGUAAAUGAAGGAAUUGAACGGUGAGUUUUAUCAAAACGCUACAAAAAGUACACCUCUCCAAACCUAAGAAAUUGAAACCCUAGAAGCUCAAACCCUCACUCACGAUUAAAUAAUCUUCCUACAUUCACAGCCUAUAAACCUAAGUAAAAGAGUUGACUUUCAAAUCCCACCAAGAGGCCACAAAGUCGAUGUCUUGCUAGUGGUUCCUUUCAAUUCACGAGAGUUUGAUCGAAAAUUAUGAAAGAGCUGGUGUUUAUUCUUGGCUUCAAUUCCAGCGAAAGUGAAGCGAUCAGAAGAGGGAGGUAAGCAGAUAGAUAUAGGUAAUGACAAGUAAUAUGUUGUUGGUGGUGGCUUGUGAGGUUUGGAUCAAGAUUCUAUCACAUCCUUCUACCACAAUGAUGUUACUUUUUAGAAAUCAUUGAAGGUAAUUUAACUAAUUAACUAAAUUUAAAUCUGUUAACUCUCAAUAUAAGAUUUACUUACAAAAAUGAACUCUAACUUGUCUUUUCAUUUGAUCACAUUAUGACCAUUAUGUUUUUUUAGCCACCUAAAUUACGUUUGCCCGUGGUUUUCGGACACGAAGCCAUUAGGUAAUUCAAUUGAUCAACCUACUCUUUUUUUUCUUAAGUUCAUUUGCUUAAUUAUUCACUCUAUUGACUUAAUUAUCACUAGUGGCUUCCCUGAGAUUCUAGAAAUUGCAACUGUAUACACAUGGAUGACCCAACAAUCAAGUGAUCAACACAAUAAAUAAUAAUAUGAAUAAUCAUGAAAUAGGUAGGAGUCAGUUACUGAGAAAUAAUGUGCCAUAAUCAAGCACUCCCAAUAUAAUUCAAUAUACAACAAACUCCAGUGAUCAACAUCCUCAACCAAAAUGCUGAGUUUUAUAUCUCCAGAGUCUCAAAAGAUAAUAUUAUAACUAAUAUUAAUAUCUUAGUUUAUUCUUAAUCCCAAAAGAAUAAUAUAACAAAAUUAUACAAUCCCAACAGGACGAGAUAACCAAGAUGUCCUAACAAAAACAUCUAUAUCUUCUAACACCAUCACGUGGCCAAGACUCAAAAUAUAUUUACAAUCGCUGGGUCGGUCUGGUGUACCUGCAACCUCCUGGUGGGGGGGACGGAAUAUAAUAAAAACGGGGUGAGUUUAAAACUCAGUGAGAUCAGUGAGUGGAUAGUAGUUUUUGAAAAUUAAUUCUUACUUUAAAAGAAAUAAUCAUAUUAUUUCCAAACACGAUUUCAUCAAACCAUAUGCAAGAAACCAGUAGUAAAUCAUUUAACAUUUAAACCAGAUUACUAACCAUGAAAAGCAUAUAUAUUAUCGUACUAAAUAACCAUGGAAAUCAUAUCACAAUAUCAUAUAGAAUACACAAAUUUGAAAAUCAUCACCAAACAAGUACUUAGGGAAAUAAUCUCAUCAUAUCCGGACCUCAACGGACGGGCAAUGACGUACGAUCUGGGUACCGUCACGCCCUGGAGCUACACGGAUAGACAUGGAAAUAUCAUCUCAUAUCUCAUCAUAUAUGUGCAUGCAUAAUCUAGUCCCCAAAGGACAAAAGCGCCCAAGCACACGACCCAAAGCCUUUGUGUGUACUCAUACGGGCCCCAAAGACCUGUAUCUCAUCUGUAUCAUUUGUAUCUCAAUAUUUGUCUGUGUCUCAUAGCUGUAUCUCUAUAAUCAUUUACCGCAUGCAUAUGCCCCCAAAAGGCAAGAGCACCCAAACACACGGCCCAAAGCCUUUAUGUGUGUUCAGACGAGCCCCAAAGGCCUCUCAUCUCAUCUCAUCUCAUCUAUAUCACUGUAUCUGGAGGAAAGGGUACUGUCUAAUGAUUUAAAAACAAUCUCUAUACUCAUAUUAACAUACAUUUUAACC
rnacentral:lncRNA from 1 species